GGAUGAAGAAGAAAUGAGAAAUAAAGGUGGAAUAGGAGAAGAAGCCAAGGUGUAAUAUUUAGGUGACGACAGGCAGAAUGAGGUGGGCGUAGCGAAGGCUGUGGGUGGUCAAUUCACAACGCAGAUUACCUACACCUUGCACCACACUGACUGCCCGCAGCUGUUCAUUAAAGUCUGGCAAGCCUGUAUCUCCGUGUUCUGCCCUGGAUAUAGGAGUAAAAUGUCACUCUACGGUCUGUCUUCUUAAACUUGUCAUUCCUUCACCUCUUCAUUUAGCAGCAGCCUAAAGAAACGUUGACGAGUGCGUGGAGUCGCCCAGAUCCUCUCCCUGUGGACCAUCCCUUCAGUAGUGUUCGAUCCGCCCAGCAGCAGCAACGGUCAUGAGAAGGCGGUCAUUGAAGUGUCAAGUCCCCAAGCUGGCAUGGUGGUGGGUGUUGUGCUGGGCUCCCUUGUGGUUCUUUGCCUAGCUGUUGGGGUAAGUCAAAUAGUUUUUCACUUCUUUAUACUGUGUUGUCUUGCUCUGGAUGUGUUGUGGCUGUGCUGUGGCAAAGAUGGCGUAAUUAAGCAGUGGGUGAGAUUCUACCAAACUUUAAACAAUUCUAAAUUGUUCUUGACACACUGAGAAUAUUCCAUUACUGUAAAGUUAGCCGACUCAUACUUUAUACAUUUUUUUUUUUUCAUCUCACCUGCAACAUUUUAAGUGUACAGAUGUUUGUCGGGUUCCUGAAGAUGCGUCGACGUGUUAUCAUCCACGCAAGCUACCCCAACCCAGCCGGUGUACCACAAGACAACAGGCAUUGAGGAGGACGGGAGGAGGGAGCGAGCGGCUGCAUGCACUAUUGAACGGGACGGCAUUACAUUCUUCCCACAGUUGUAUGACUACACUGAAGCAA